rnacentral:rRNA from 1 species
UACGAGGGGUGCAAGCGUUGCUCGGAAUUAUUGGGCGUAAAGGGUAGGUAGGUGGUCUCAUUUGUCUGGGGUGAAAGCCUUGAGCUUAACUCAAGAAGUGCCCCAGAAACGGUGAGACUAGAGUCCUGGAGAGGGUCGUGGAAUUCCCGGUGUAGCGGUGAAAUGCGUAGAGAUCGGGAGGAACACCAGAGGCGAAGGCGGCGACCUGGACAGGUACUGACACUCAACUACGAAAGCGUGGGGAGCAAACAGG